ACGGAAGGCAGCAGUGGGGAAUAUUGCACAAUGGGGGAAACCCUGAUGCAGCGACGCCGCGUGAGUGAAGAAGUUAUUCGUAAUGUAAAGCUCUAUCAGCAGGGAAGAAAAUGACGGUACCUGACUAAGAAGCCCCGGCUAACUACGUGCCAGCAGCCGCGGUAAUACGUAGGGGGCAAGCGUUAUCCGGAUUUACUGGGUGUAAAGAGAGCGUAGACGGUCUAGCAAGUCUGAUGUGAAAGGCAGGGGCUCAACUCCUGGACUGCAUUGGAAACUGUUAGUCUUGAGUGUCGGAGAGGUAAGCGGAAUUCCUAGUGUAGCGGUGAAAUGCGUAGAUAUUAGGAGGAACACCAGUGGCGAAGGCGGCUUACUGGACGAUAACUGACGUUGAGGCUCGAAAGCGUGGGGAGCAAACAGGAUUAGAUACCCUGGUA
rnacentral:rRNA from 1 species